GCACUCGUAGUUCAGCGGUAGAACGCUUCGUUGACAUCGAAGAGGUGGAAGGUCCGACUCCUUCCGGGUGCA
rnacentral:tRNA from 1 species